AUACGUAGGGGGCGAGCGUUGUCCGGAAUGAUUGGGCGUAAAGGGCGUGUAGGCGGCCUGUUAAGUCUGAAGUGAAAGUCCUGUUUUCAAGAUGGGAAUUGCUUUGGAUACUGGCGGGCUUGAGUGCAGGAGAGGUUAUCGGGAUUCCCCGGGUAGCGGGGAAAUGCGUAGAGAUCGGGAGGAACACCAGUGGCGAAGGCGGGUAACUGGACUGCAACUGACGCUGAGGCGCGAAAGUGUGGGGAGCAAACAGGAUUAGAUACCCUGGUAGUCCACACUGUAAACGAUGAAUGCUAGGUGUAGGGGGUAUCGACCCCUUCUGUGCCGCAGUAAACACAAUAAGCAUUCCGCCUGGGGAGUACGGCCGCAAGGUUGAAACUCAAAGGAAUUGACGGGG
rnacentral:rRNA from 1 species